ACAGACUUAUAUCUUAAUAAAUGUACACCAGUCAAUCGUAAUAAUUCCUCGAUUAUAUCUACCGAAACAACAGAAUUCGUUAUUAGCUUAGUAAAUGGGGAAACAUUUAGAUAUGAAAAUGAAUCAAUUGAGUCUGAAGUUUUUGAAAAUGGAUUGAUUUUUGUUUACACUGACAUUAUUAAACCAAGAUGUGUAGGAAACAAGAGACCCCGAUGUCUUCGAGUAUUAUAUUUCAAUGGAAAAGAGCAACUCAUGCAAUUCAAAAAUAUUGAAUAUUAUCCUAUUGAAAUAUGGUCACCAAAGGAAAUUUCAAUAUUAAUUACUGAUUCCAAAGGAUAUAAAGUACCAUUUGAAUCUUCAACAGUUCCAAUAUUUAUUACUCUACACUUCAGAAAACGAAUCGAAAUGCUAUAAAUAAAACUGUACAAAUCUAAAUUAGUUCAGAGUAGAAAUAGUCAUCAUGACGAGAUCUUAUCAACAAUAUUAUUUAAAUCAAUGUGGUGGUGGGUUAAAUCAUAUAGGAAGUCUAUAUGUGACACCCAGAGUUAUCCAACAAGGUAGAGGAAUUGGAAAUUUUUUUAGUGGGCUUUUUAAUUAUAUAAAACCACUCUUCCUUUCGGGGAUAAACGCUAUUAAAAAUCAAGCCUCUGAAACUGGAAAGGCUGUAAUAAAUGAGUUUGGUCGAAAACCUUUAAGAAACAUUAUCCAAGAACAAAGCAAAAUUGCAUUGCAAAAUCUGUCAAAUAAAGCAAUAAAUAAAUUUACACGAUUCCAAAAUGGUGAAGGUAAAAAGAAUAAAAAGAGAAGGUCUAGGAAAAAACGAGCUCAUUUAUCAUCUAAACAAGGACGCAAACAUACGCAGUCGAGACCAAUAAAGAAAAAAUCCUCCAAGAAAUUAAAUAUAAAAGAUAUUUUUUCGAAAUCAAAAUGACCACCCAUAUAGAAUGUAUGAAAAGCGAAUUGGAUCUGUUUGAACCACAUCCCACACAAAGCUCUAUUCUGAGAACUGAAGAAGUUUCAUACAAUCCCAUAGCUUCAUUGGACAGCGCCUCUUCAAUUGAAUUCGUUUGCUUAGGAAAUGGUGAAACAUAUCGAGAUCUGUCAAGUGUUUACUUAAGACUUGUUGUACAACUAAGAAAAAAUGAUAAUGGAAGCAUUGAAGGAGACAAUGUUGGAGUAGUGAAUAAUAUUUUACAUUCAAUGUUCAGAAAUCGUAUUUGCAAACGAUUUUAAACUAUGGUAGUGACGCCACUGAAAGUCACUUAACCACUCAAGGCUAUUAUCCUAACUAUGGUAAAUUAUUAUCUGGUAGAUAUGUUAAUACCGAUGGAUCCGUUUUGCUUAAAAAAAUUUUUCAAAACAGUAAUAAGGUUGAACUUUUUGGAAAAGUUAAUGGAGAUAUAUUUAAUCAACCAAAACUGCUUAUAAAUAAUGUUGAUUUAAGAAUAACUUUUAACAUUGAAAAAACAGCAUUUUAUUUAAUGGAAUCUGAAACUGAAUCAAAUCUAAAGAUAUUGGAAGCACAACUCUUCAUGAACCACAUAACUAUUAAUCCAAGCAUUUUAUUGGCUCAUCAUCAUGUUUUACAAACUAAAAAUGCUAUUUAUCCAUAUAGCAAAGCCCAAGUAAAAUCAUUUACAAUAUACCCAGGAAAUAAUACAUUAUCAAUUGACAAUGCAGUUAUUGGACAGAUUCCUAAUUUUUUGGCUUUUUGCAUGGUAAAAAACAAAUCAUAUUCUGGCAAUCGAACUUUGAAUCCUUUCAAUUUUGAACAUUUUAAAAUUCAACGCUUUAAUCUAUUGGUUAAUGGUGUGCAAGUACCAUCGCAGGCUCUUGAGUUUGAUUUCUCGAACUCUGAAAAUGCACAAAGCUCUAGAGGUUAUAAUAUGCUAUUCAGAGCAAGUGGAAUAAGACAUUAUGAUCGAGGCUUGCAAAUUACAAAGGAAAUGUAUGAUAAAAAUAGUUUUAUAUUAGCAUUUGACUUAACUGCAGACCAUUAUAAUUCAACCCAUUGCUCAAACUUAAUUUCUCAAGGAGCCAUUCGAAUUGAAGGACGAUUUUCGGAACCUCUUACUGAAGCAGUUACUUGUUUGGUAUACUGUGAAUAUGACUCAAUGAUUGAUAUUGAUAAACAUCGAAAUAUUCGGGUUCUAUUAUAAAAAUGAAUACAUUGCAAAUCAAUAAUUUGCUUUCUAAGCAUUCAAAAACAAAAAAGGUUUUUAAAGGAGUUUAUCCCUCUGAUAAGCUUCCUAAAGUAAUUUCUAAAUAUCCUGCUCUAAUAAUAGCAAACACAGAUUCAUCACAACGUCCAGGAACUCAUUGGGUUGCUUUCUACUUUGAAAGCAAAAAUUCAGCUGAAUUUUUUGAUUCCUAUGGUCAAUAUCCUCAGAAAAAAGAAUUUUUACAAUUAUUAAGAAAAAAUUCAAUGAAGUUUACAUUUAAUAAACAAUCACUUCAAGGAUAUUUUUCAAGUACCUGCGGUCAUUACUGUAUUCUUUAUGGAAUUUUUAAGAGUAACAAUAAAACAUUAAAUUGUUUUUUAAAACAAUUUAAGAAAAAUGACUUUAAUUAUAAU